rnacentral:rRNA from 1 species
UGGCCGUAAACGAUGUGGGCUUGGUGUUGGAAUGGCUCCGAGCUGCUCCAGUGCCGAAGGGAAGCUGUUAAGUCCACCGCCUGGGAAGUACGGUCGCAAGACUGAAACUUAAAGGAAUUGGCGGGGAGGCACCACAACGCGUGGAGCCUGCGGGUUUAAUUUGGAUUCAACGCCGGACAUCUCACCAGGGGCGGACAGCAGAAUGAUGGCCAGGUUGAUGACCUUGCUUGACAAGCUGAGAGGAGGUGCAUGGCGUGUGACUGU